rnacentral:rRNA from 1 species
GAUGAACGCUGGCGGCGUGCCUAAUACAUGCAAGUCGAGCGAACAGACGAGGAGCUUGCUCCUCUGACGUUAGCGGCGGACGGGUGAGUAACACGUGGAUAACCUACCUAUAAGACUGGGAUAACUUCGGGAAACCGGAGCUAAUACCGGAUAAUAUAUUGAACCGCAUGGUUCAAUAGUGAAAGACGGUUUUGCUGUCACUUAUAGAUUGAUCCGCGCCGCAUUAGCUAGUUGGUAAGGUAACGGCUUACCAAGGCAACGAUGCGUAGCCGCCCUGAGAGGGUGAUCGGCCACACUGGAACUGCGACACGGUCCAGACUCCUACGGGAGGCAGCAGUAGGGAAUCUUGCGCAAUGGGCGAAAGCCUGACGGAGCAACGCCGCGUGAGUGAUGAAGGUCUUCGGAUCGUAAAACUCUGUUAUUAGGGAAGAACAAAUGUGUAAGUAACUAUGCACGUCUUGACGGUACCUAAUCAGAAAGCCACGGCUAACUACGUG